rnacentral:rRNA from 1 species
AGUGAACGCUGGCGGCGUGCCUAAUACAUGCAAGUCGAACGAGUGGCGAACGGGUGAGUAACGCAUCGGAACGUACCGAGUAAUGGGGGAUAACUGUCCGAAAGGACAGCUAAUACCGCAUAUUAUUCGAGCGGCCGAUGUCUGAUUAGCUGGUUGGCGGGGUAAAGGCCCACCAAGGCGACGAUCAGUAGCGGGUCUGAGAGGAUGAUCCGCCACACUGGGACUGAGACACGGCCCAGACUCCUACGGGAGGCAGCAGUGGGGAAUUUUGGACAAUGGGCGCAAGCCUGAUCCAGCCAUGCCGCGUGUCUGAAGAAGGCCUUCGGAUUGUAAAGCACUUUAAGUUGGGAGGCGUUACCAACAGAAUAAGCACCGGCUAACUUCGUGCCAGCCGCCGCGGUAAUAC